CAGCCGCCGCGGGAAUACGGAGGGUGCAAGCGUUAUCCGGAUUCACUGGGUUUAAAGGGUGCGUAGGCGGAUCUGUAAGUCAGUGGUGAAAUCUCCAGGCUUAACCUGGAAACUGCCGUUGAUACUAUAGGUCUUGAAUUUUGUGGAGGUUAGCGGAAUAUGUCAUGUAGCGGUGAAAUGCAUAGAUAUGACAUAGAACACCAAUUGCGAAGGCAGCUGGCUACACAACUAUUGACGCUGAGGCACGAAAGCGUGGGGAUCAAACAGGAUUAGAUACCCGAGUAGUCCAUGUCUCUUAUAA
rnacentral:rRNA from 1 species